AGUGAACGCUGGCGGUAGGCCUAACACAUGCAAGUCGAACGGCAGCACAGUAAGAGCUUGCUCUUACGGGUGGCGAGUGGCGGACGGGUGAGGAAUACAUCGGAAUCUACUUUUUCGUGGGGGAUAACGUAGGGAAACUUACGCUAAUACCGCAUACGACCUACGGGUGAAAGCAGGGGAUCUUCGGACCUUGCGCGAUUGAAUGAGCCGAUGUCGGAUUAGCUAGUUGGCGGGGUAAAGGCCCACCAAGGCGACGAUCCGUAGCUGGUCUGAGAGGAUGAUCAGCCACACUGGAACUGAGACACGGUCCAGACUCCUACGGGAGGCAGCAGUGGGGAAUAUUGGACAAAGGGCGCAAGCCUGAUCCAGCCAUACCGCGUGGGUGAAGAAGGCCUUCGGGUUGUAAAGUCCUUUUGUUGGGAAAGAAAAGCAGCAGGUUAAUACCCCGCUGUUCUGACGGUACCCAAAGAAUAAGCACCGGCUAACUUCGUG
rnacentral:rRNA from 1 species